rfam:Corynebacterium tuscaniense DNF00037 contig39, whole genome shotgun sequence.
GGGGAUGACUUGGUUUCGACUUCGCUGACCAAUCCAGGGGAAGCGUGCCGGUGCAGGCUGGAGACCACCGACUUUAAGCGUCGCAGCACUUCAUAAACGCAGAGAAGAACUCUCAGCGUGACUACGCCCUCGCUGCCUAAGUAGCGACCGCGUGUCUGUCAGGCCGGGCUUGCUCCCGACCCGGACCCUGGCAUCGACUAGGGAGCUUGCCCUCUCACCGUGUCAGUGAGGUGCUUGGAGGGGACAACUUUCACUGACUGGGCCCAUCAUCCGGACAUGUUCGCCUGAUCCGGAGGGCCAAGCAGAGAUCCUGUGCGAACUGCGCACGGAGAAGCCCUGGUGCAGUGGCGAAGGACCCGGGUUCAAUUCCCGGCAUCUCCACAC